rnacentral:rRNA from 1 species
UAAUCGGAAUUACUGGGCGUAAAGCGCGCGCAGGCGGCUUCGCAAGUCAGGCGUGAAAUCCCCGGGCUUAACCUGGGAAUGGCGUCUGAAACUACGGAGCUGGAGUGUGGCAGAGGGAGGUAGAAUUCCACGUGUAGCGGUGAAAUGCGUAGAUAUGUGGAGGAAUACCGAUGGCGAAGGCAGCCUCCUGGGCCAACACUGACGCUCAUGCACGAAAGCGUGGGGAGCAAACAGG